rnacentral:misc_RNA from 1 species
CGCACCUUGCGCCCUUUGGUAUUCCGAGGGGCAUGCCUGUUUGAGUGUCAUUAAAUUAUCAACCUUUACUAGCUUUUGCUUUGCUAAAGGAUUGGAAGUGGGGGUAUUCAUUUUGCAGGUUUUUGAUAAAGAAAUCUGCUCCCCUCAAAUGUAUUAGCGGUUUCCUUGUGGACUCGUCUAUUAGUGUAAUAAAUAUAUCUACGCUGCUAGAUGUCUACGUCUUAAGGUUAUAUACUGCUUUAUAGUUGUCUUAGGAUAACAUUUUUUUGACUCUUGACCUCAAAUCAGGUAGGACUACCCGCUGAACUUAA